AUGCUUACCUGGCAGGGGCAAUACCAUGGUUAAGAAGGUGGUUCGCCCAAGGCAAUGCUCAACCAUUGCACUCGGAUUGUGCUGACCCUCGAGGAUUCGUCAAAAUGUGGGAAUUUCGACUGCAUGAUGUUUAAAAGCAGGUGACUGGAUUCACGCUCUUCCUUG